rnacentral:lncRNA from 1 species
CUUUAAGUCCUCCGGUGGAGAGCUUUACUCCUCGAUCUUAGCCUUCUUUCUCUGCUCUGUGGCAAAAGAGAAGGAAAAUAAUUGCUCCGGUAUCAGAUACGAAAUAUUCCUUCCUCGCAUGACCUGUCCAACGGAAAAAGCUCAAUACCGAAAGAUAAAAGGUUGUGGUCAGCACGAAGAGAACCACUCGACGGAGCCAUCCUUCUCAGAAACAUUUCGUCGAACACCCGUCCGACACUCGAUCAUGGUCUUCAUGCGUCGGAUUAGGCAAAAUGUCACUGACACACGAUCAUCAUACCCAAAAUUAAAAUAAUCGUUAUCCAGUACCAUAUGUUAUCAAUGGCCGUCGCCCUCCAUCAGCAACCCCAACAUCCAUUACCCAUUGCUGCUGCAAUCGUCCCAUUCCUUCCUUCACCGUCGCUGUCGCUUCAUUAUUGCUUCCCGUCAUCGCUAGUCUUGGAUUUAAUACCGUUCAUCGCCGACAGGUCCCAUCCAUCAUUUCAGACCAUUCACCGUCCACCUUCCGAACCCAUCGUCCUGGCUAACCCGUUGAUCCACUUCUAUUCGCAUCCGUGAAUUAUC